AGCCCGAUUUACUUGUUUGUUGCCCAACGCCUAAUCGGAUUAGGGUUUCACUGCCAUAUAAAUAGCUACAAACCCUAAAGUCUCGUCCCUGCCUCCCUUACACGCAGCCUCUCUGCUGAAACAGCAGCUACGGUUUUCGAUUAAGGCGCAACAGAGCUUGAAUUCCUCUUCACCAUGAGAGCCAAGUGGAAGAAGAAGCGUAUGAGAAGGUUGAAGAGGAAGCGCAGAAAGAUGAGACAGAGAUCCAAGUAGUUUUACUUUAUGAUUAAAAUAUGAAACGACGGUCGUUUUAGUUUGUUCUUGUUUUUGCAGUUUGUUGGAUUAUCAGUACUUUAAUUAACAUUAUGGAGUUCAGUUUAAUGUUAUCUUCAUCACAGUUUUGUUAGACCUUUAUUAUAUUCUAUCGAAAUGGGAUUGUGUUUUUGCUUA